CUGCAUACUAGUAGACCCUUUCUGACUGUGCCAUGGUCACAAAGGGGGGACAAUGUAUGCAAAAGCAAGCCCAAGUUGCCAACAGACUCAUUCAGGCAGCUGUCUGACUGAUUGACCUGUGGUACUUGUACAGAA